rnacentral:rRNA from 1 species
UUGUACCUACGGGAGGCAGCAGUGAGGAAUAUUGGUCAAUGGGCGGGAGCCUGAACCAGCCACGUCGCGUGAGGGAAGACGGUCCUAUGGAUUGUAAUCCUCUUUAGGCGGGGAGCAAUGCCGGGCACGCGCGCCCGGAGGGAGAGUACCCGCAGAAUAAGCAUCGGCUAACUCCGUGCCAGCAGCCGCGGUAAUACGGAGGAUGCGAGCGUUAUCCGGAUUUAUUGGGGUUAAAGGGUGCGUAGGCGGAUUUUUAAGUCAGCGGUAAAAUGCCCGGGCACAACCCGGGCCGGCCGUUGAAACUG